rnacentral:lncRNA from 1 species
UUAGGGUCAAUCAUCGAGGUUGUUUCCAUAUGUUUAACACACAUUAUUCAUUCAAGAGCAUCCUACCAAAUAAAAUAUCUCAUCAUCGGGCUUAUAAAAUUUUUGAUUUGAAAAAAUUUGGUGCUAACAAGAGCUUCACAACCUUCCCUAUUGUACCUAACUCCGAACCCAUAAUCUCUGAUGUUGGUGAGGGGGAAUCUUAGGCUUUCUACAAGGAUCCAAAGCAGUCAUCCAC